UACGUAGGGUGCGAGCGUUGUCCGGAAUUAUUGGGCGGAAAGAGCUCGUAGGCGGUCUGUCGCGUCGAUCGUGAAAACUUGGGGCUUAACCCUGAGCUUGCGGUCGAUACGGGCAUGACUGGAGUUCGGCAGGGGAGACUGGAAUUCCUGGUGUAGCGGUGAAAUGCGCAGAUAUCAGGAGGAACACCGGUGGCGAAGGCGGGUCUCUGGGCCGAUACUGACGCUGAGGAGCGAAAGCGUGGGGAGCGAACAGG
rnacentral:rRNA from 1 species